UGGACGCAAGUCUGAUGGAGCAACGCCGCGUGAGUGAAGAAGGUUUUCGGAUCGUAAAGCUCUGUUGUUGGUGAAGAAGGAUAGAGGUAGUAACUGGCCUUUAUUUGACGGUAAUCAACCAGAAAGUCACGGCUAACUACGUGCCAGCAGCCGCGGUAAUACGUAGGUGGCAAGCGUUGUCCGGAUUUAUUGGGCGUAAAGCGAGCGCAGGCGGAAGAAUAAGUCUGAUGUGAAAGCCCUCGGCUUAACCGAGGAACUGCAUCGGAAACUGUUUUUCUUGAGUGCAGAAGAGGAGAGUGGAACUCCAUGUGUAGCGGUGGAAUGCGUAGAUAUAUGGAAGAACACCAGUGGCGAAGGCGACUCUCUGGUCUGCAACUGACGCUGAGGCUCGAAAGCAUGGGUA
rnacentral:rRNA from 1 species